GAGACGCCCCCUUCUGCGCGGUCAUGCCGAGCCAGCGCCUCAGCCUGGAAGCGGGCCGCAGACCCUUAGUUUCGCCCACCGCCUGACGACCAUGGACCCCCGAAAAGUGAACGAGCUUCGGGCCUUUGUGAAGAUGUGUAAGCAGGAUCCAAGCGUUCUGCACACAGAAGAAAUGCGCUUCCUGAGGGAGUGGGUGGAGAGUAUGGGGGGUAAAAUACUAAGUGCUACUCAGAAAGCUAAAUCAGAAGAAAAUACCAAGGAAGAAAAACCUGAUAGUAAGAAGGUAGAGGAAGAUUUAAAGGCAGACGAACCAUCAAGUGAGGAAAGUGAUCUAGAAAUUGAUAAUGAAGGUGUGAUUGAACCAGACACUGACACCCCUCAAGAAAUGGGAGAUGAAAAUGCAGAGAUAACAGAGGAGAUGAUAGAUCAGGCAAAUGAUAAGAAAGUGGCUGCUAUUGAAGCCCUAAAUGAUGGUGAAUUGCAGAAAGCCAUUGACUUAUUCACAGAUGCCAUCAAGCUGAAUCCUCGCUUGGCCAUUUUGUAUGCCAAGAGGGCCAGUGUCUUCGUCAAAUUACAGAAGCCAAAUGCUGCCAUCCGAGACUGUGACAGAGCCAUUGAAAUAAAUCCUGAUUCAGCUCAGCCUUACAAGUGGCGAGGGAAAGCACACAGACUUCUGGGCCACUGGGAAGAAGCAGCCCAUGAUCUUGCCCUUGUCUGUAAACUGGAUUAUGAUGAAGAUGCGAGUGCAAUGCUGAAAGAAGUUCAACCUAGGGCACAGAAAAUUGCAGAACAUCGGAGAAAGUAUGAGCGAAAACGUGAAGAGCGAGAGAUCAAAGAAAGAAUAGAAAGAGUUAAGAAGGCUCGAGAAGAGCAUGAGAGAGCCCAGAGGGAGGAAGAAGCCAGACGACAGACUCAAUGAAAUUCUUAGUGAUCCAGAGGUUCUUGCAGCCAUGCAGGAUCCAGAAGUUAUGGUGGCCUUCCAGGAUGUGGCUCAGAACCCAGCAAAUAUGUCAAAAUACCAGAGCAACCCAAAGGUUAUGAAUCUUAUCAGCAAAUUGUCAGCCAAAUUUGGAGGUCAAGCAUAAUGACCUUCUGAUAAAUAAAGCCUUUGCUGAAGGAAAAGCAAACUAAAUCACCUUAUGGAUGUCGCAAUAAUACAAACCAAUGUACCUCUGACCUUCUCAUCAAGAGAGCUGGGGUGCUUUGAAGAUAAUCCCUACUCCUCUCCCCCAAAUGCAGCUGAAGCAUUUUACAGUGGUUUGCCAUUAGGGUAUUCAUUCAGAUAAUGUUUUCCUACUAGGAAUUACAAACUUUAAACACUUUUUAACUUUAAAAAUAUUUAAAACAAAUUUAAAGUGUCUGUUAAUUGUUAUGUUUUUCUUUACUACUCAUUUUGGAUUUUUUUUUCUUUGAAUUAUUGGGCAGGGAAGAUACUGAAUGUAUAGAAGAUUUUUGCUCUAAUUUGAGUGAAAUAAAAGUUUAUUAGUGCGAGGCAAACA